GACGAACGCUGGCGGCGUGCUUAACACAUGCAAGUCGAACGGAAAGGCCCUGCUUUUGUGGGGUGCUCGAGUGGCGAACGGGUGAGUAACACGUGAGUAACCUGCCCUUGACUUUGGGAUAACUUCAGGAAACUGGGGCUUAUACCGGAUAGGAGCUCCUGCUGCAUGGUGGGGGUUGGAAAGUUUCGGCGGUUGGGGAUGGACUCGCGGCUUAUCAGCUUGUUGGUGGGGUAGUGGCUUACCAAGGCUUUGACGGGUAGCCGGCCUGAGAGGGUGACCGGCCACAUUGGGACUGAGAUACGGCCCAGACUCCUACGGGAGGCAGCAGUGGGGAAUAUUGCACAAUGGGCGGAAGCCUGAUGCAGCAACGCCGCGUGCGGGAUGGCGGCCUUCGGGUUGUAAACCGCUUUCGCCUGUGACGAAGCGUGAGUGACGGUAAUGGGUAAAGAAGCACCGGCUAACUACGUG
rnacentral:rRNA from 1 species